rnacentral:RNase_P_RNA from 13 species
AAAGUGUGAGAAAGACAAGAAGAAGAAGAAGAAGAGAGUGGUGAUAAUGGCGUCGUCUUUUUUCUCUUUUUUCUCUGUCCCUUUUCCUUUCUUUCUCUCUCUUCCUCCUCUCUCUCUUCCAUUAAUUCUUG